rnacentral:rRNA from 1 species
GAUGAACGCUGGCGGCGUGCUUAACACAUGCAAGUCGAACGAUGAAGCCCAGCUUGCUGGGUGGAUUAGUGGCGAACGGGUGAGUAACACGUGAGUAACCUGCCCUUAACUCUGGGAUAAGCCUGGGAAACUGGGUCUAAUACCGGAUAGGAGCGUCCACCGCAUGGUGGGUGUUGGAAAGAUUUAUCGGUUUUGGAUGGACUCGCGGCCUAUCAGCUUGUUGGUGAGGUAAUGGCUCACCAAGGCGACGACGGGUAGCCGGCCUGAGAGGGUGACCGGCCACACUGGGACUGAGACACGGCCCAGACUCCUACGGGAGGCAGCAGUGGGGAAUAUUGCACAAUGGGCGCAAGCCUGAUGCAGCGACGCCGCGUGAGGGGUGACGGCCUUCGGGUUGUAAACCUCUUUUAGUAGGGAAGAAGCGCAAGUGACGGUACCUGCAGAAAAAGCACCGGCUAACUACGU